CAGCAGCCGCGGUAAUACGUAGGGUGCGAGCGUUAAUCGGAAUUACUGGGCGUAAAGCGUGCGCAGGCGAUUUUGUAAGACAGGCGUGAAAUCCCCGGGCUCAACCUGGGAAUGGCGCUUGUGACUGCAAAGCUAGAGUGCGGCAGAGGGGGAUGGAAUUCCGCGUGUAGCAGUGAAAUGCGUAGAUAUGCGGAGGAACACCGAUGGCGAAGGCAAUCCCCUGGGCCUGCACUGACGCUCAUGCACGAAAGCGUGGGGAGCAAACAGGAUUAGAUACCCCCGUAGUCCCUGUCUCUUAUAA
rnacentral:rRNA from 1 species